GCUUGAAAGUUUUGGAAAGAAUUUCAAAUACAAGCUACCAAGGUUCCAACGAAGCCCCAUCACCCCAUUUAGACAAUUAGAGAAGUAGAGUCGACAAAGGGUUCAACGAAAUACCGAUCAAAAGGCAACCGGUAACUAGGUCAAGGUGCCCUUGUAGAUUCGUUUUCUUGGUAGAUAUCUCGACAUUCAGUAGCCGUACAUCAUUCGGGUCUCUCCGCUGGAAAUCGAGUCUUCUUUUUUCGAUGUAUAGACAAACUUGAUGUAAAUUAUUAAGAUACAUGUUGUAGACAAUGUACACUUGAUUGGUAUGCCACAAUGAAAUGGCAAUGCUUAGUAUUAUUUUGAUUCAAAGUUAUAAAAUGUGACUUAGCAACUUUUAAUGGA